UGGAAAAGAUGUAUCCCGUAUCUGGUGUCC
rnacentral:piRNA from 1 species